rfam:Triticum aestivum genome assembly, contig: Triticum_aestivum_CS42_TGACv1_scaffold_603074_7DL
CAUGUACUCCCUCCGUCCCAAAAUUCUUGUCUUAGAUUUGUCUAGAUACGGAUGUACCUAAUACUAAAACGUGACUUGAUACAUCCGUAUUUAGACAAAUCUAAGGCGAGAAUUUUGGGACAGAGGGAGUAUUAU